CAUCACCAACACCACCACCUUCGCCAUCACUAUUAUCACCACUACCAUCAUCAUAAUCACCACCACAACCAUCACCAUCACCAUCGCCAUCACUCUUAUCAUCAUCGUCACCAUUACCACCACUGGGGUAAAUAAAUGUACCCGAGCCUGACCUCGCCAGGCAAUUACAGCUGUUUUCAUUGUGGGAGUCGGCUUCCAGCCUCCAGCCCAGGCCCACGUUCAACAGAGGGUGGAUUCCCACCCUCUUUAUGACCAGCUGGUUCUGAUUAGAGAUGAACCAGGAAAGCAUGGAGCAAUAAAGCACAGUCGCCCCGUGUCCCCACAUGUAGCACUCUUCCAUGUGUUUUGAUUUACUGGUCGACCCAUAACACCCAGCCCUUCAACAAGCUGGACUCUGUACCUCACGGACUUGUUUAUCAUGGUAAAAGCAGCCUUUUAGAGAUUCGAAUAGGGCCCACAUAGGCUUGAUAAAGGUGUGUGUGAGAGUUUACCUUAGUGUGUGCUGUGAGAACAUGUGUGUGUGAACAUGUGUAAAUGUGUGGGUGAGAUGGCAGGCUGUGAGAACAUGUGUGAGCAUGUGUGAGCUUGCAGCAUGUGGAAACGUGUGUGUGUGAACAUGUGUGAGCUUGCGGGUGUGAGGAUGUGUGUGUUGACAUGUGUGAGCUUGCAGCACAUGGGGACAUGUGUGGACAGGUGUGUGGUGUGUGUGAGCGGGUGUGUGCAGGUGAGUGGUGCCCUGGGCAGGGCUGGCUCUCUUGCACAGGCUGCUCGGGUGUCCGUGUCCACACAGUGCUCCCGUGGGCGCGGUGGCCUGUGCAUGAAGGAAUAGCACCCAGGGUGCCUCCUGAGCAGCUGCUCUCCUGCUCUCCAGUGCCCCUUGAUGGCGGCUGUCACUCAGCAGUCCCUAGGGCCCUGUGCUGGAUAGACUUGUUGAUCAUCAAAGCGGGAGGUUUUAAAGUGAAGUCACACGGUGGCUUGGGAGAAGUUCAGCAGAGUUCCAGAUGGCACCAAGUGGCCUGGGGCAAGUCCACUAGGAUAGGACGCUCUGGGAAGCCCUGAAAGACAGUCCAUCAGAGCAGACGGUGGCAGGUGGUCUGCAGGCCUUGCUCCCAGCCUGGCUGAGCUGUGUGGCUUGGGUUCAGCUGGUGCUCUGGAGCUCAGCACCACACAGCAGGACCAGGGAGGGAGAGUCCUGGGGCCUCUGGGGAGAUGGGUUUUGCCUGGUAUCCUGGACUCUGUUCAGAAGAAAAGCAAAGGUGGUCUGAGCAUGGGCUUGUGGCUGAGUGCCAGGAUCUCAGCAGCAGAGGAGCGUGAUCCCCAGGAGCCUCGUGCAUGCCAGGCAGGUUCGUGGUCAGAAACACGGCCCCUGUGAGAGCAGCGCCUGUCUUGGAGCUCGCCCCCCUGGCGGGAGACAGCCAGCAAGUGGCCAAGCAAAGCUGACCAGUAGGAGGUCGCAGCACUUGAUGACACAGAGCCCUGCGUGAGAUGACCAGGGAAGCUCUCCUGAGGGUCACGAUGUGCGGAAGCUGAAGAGAAGGGGAGCAGCCCUCCCCGCCUGACCCUGGGAGCAGAGAGGAAGAGGGUCCCGAGGAGUGGCCUCAGGUGCAGGGCCGGGCAGGCAUGGCUGGUCUCCCCGCAGCAGGAGGCGUCUGCAGGAUGGAGCCGCGAGCUGAGGCCACAUUGGUGCCUCAGCCCGUGCUGUGCCCUGAAAACCCAGAAGCCCAGCUUCGCCCUAGAGAGCAGGAGCUGUGGCCGCUGGGCCAGGGCUGUCCAGAGGGCACCCAGAGCCGCAGUGCAGUGCUGGGCCAGCAGCAGUGUGUCUGGGCACAGGUGAGCCCCGAGGGGCCUGUAUCUGCAUGGCGUCCAUGGAGACAAACGUGGGGCUGAGGCCCGGGAAGGUGCUCGGGUGUGAAGGAAGGAAGAAGAAGCGGGAACAAAUAUUCCCUACUUGUCACUUUUCAAGGAAGACAAUGAGCAGAGGAAAUGUCCAGUCGCUUCCUUUUCCAGAGGGCCAUCUCAGCAGCGUGAGCCCCUAGAUCUUGUCUGAUGGCACUGAGGCCAAUUUUCAGUAGGCGAAUGGAGAGAAGCUGGGCCUUCCCAUUAAGCCAACCAACCAAACAGGGCAUUUAAGAUGAGGAAACUGAGGCCCAAAGAGUGAAACUCCUCUGUUCAAUCUCAAGAGGAACCAUUUGGAAAUACUCAUUCUGGGAGCUGUGGCUCAGAAGAGUUGGAGAUAAAAGGUUUCGUUUCCUCGGCGGCAGCAACCAUAACUAUAAAACUUGUUUUUCACUCAUUUGAAUCUAAAGGUCAGCAAGGUCUCUGUGCUUGUCUAUCCUUUCUUUCUUCCUUCACUAUGUAUGUAUUUUUAAACAAUCAGAGCUCCAUUUCA